GAGUGCUGGAUUCUGAUCUCCUGUCUGUGUCCAGUUGUAUCUAUUGUCUCCUCUCUCCUCUCCUCACUUGUGGUCUAUCACUGCUGUAAGAAGGCUGAAGAACAUCCUGUUGAUCAGCAAAGACCUGACACUAGAGGUCAUCCAAGACAGAGCCAGGAUGACGAUGUGUGCUAUGCUGCUGUGGAAAUCCGUCAGAAAUCAAAGAGACCAAAGAAGAAGAAGGAACCGCAGACUUCUGACUUCUGCACCUAUUCUGCUCUUAAUACAUCUAGGAUGUAACAGGCCUAAGACCAGAGGAAUAAAAAAAAUGAAUUUUAUAAUGUUGAUAUAUAUAGACCAUUCUGUCAUUGCAUAGUUCAAACAUUGCUGGCUGUAUUAACCACAACAUUCAUCACGGAAAAUAUGCGUCAUGUGGUCUUAUUUCCUUGCGCCACUGAGAUGACUUUUGAAAAUUAAAGGAGCCGUAAAAAUCAGAAAUGAAGAACAAUCUCAUAAGUGUUUGUCGUGGUUGAUUACACUUCAUCUUCAGAAUCUUUAUAUUCUUAAUUGAGAUCAAUUUCAUAAAGUUUGUAAUGGCUGCUGGUCUGAAUCUAGACUGUUCUCUGGCAAUUUCCUGUUUUUAUCUCAAGCUAACC